CCCACAGCGGGCCGGCAGAGACGCGAGAGCGGCCGGGGCUGGCCCUUGCCAGGAACCGUAGCUGAGGCAGCUUCGUGGUCAUGUGACACGGGGAAGGGCGGACGUGAGGCUCACGCACAGGAACGGGGGCAGUGCGACGGCGAUACGGGGACAUCUUUGUUGAGGGCAAAGAGCGCCAACCGCAGGCAACAAAGCAAGGGCGGUGCAAGUUGGCUUCAACGCUGAAACUUUAUUGGAGUUGGUGAUCUUCCAGACCCACGUGUUUACAAGGCAUGUGAGCAGUGAAGGAUGGGAACCACAGUCACAGUGUGUGCUGUCCCCUGCGGUCACACCUUCGCUUAGCGACUGAGACAGAAGCAAUGACCUGAAUUUGAACAUCAGCACCACCGAGGCCACCUGGGGGGAUCAAGAAGCAUCUUCAGAACUUUGCCUCAGGAUACCUGGCCUCCGAUCCAUCAGAGUGUCACCAUCAAGUACCAGUGGGUUUUAGAGUUUUGCAGACCUUUGUUUUCUUAACAUUGUUCCUACCUGGCUUCUGCAAUGCCUAAGAGAAGCUAGAAAUCCUGGGCUUUCCCUGGGCAAAGAUCUUAUUUGUAAACCUUUACAGAGAUCUACUGAAUUAUGCUGAUGGCAUAUAACAACAGUGAAGGACAGUGACAAAGGAAGAAAAGGGGGGAAAAAAACCCCAGCUCGGAUAUGUGGGAGUCUUAACGGCAGCAGUAGGUUCAUUACCUCUUCUGGAUUAUCAGGUCCAAAGCAAGUCUCUUUUUCUCCCCCUUACUAGCUAUAAUGUAGCACCAUGCCUGGGACAUGGCUUGGUGCUGAAUGAAAUGCUUGUUCAGUUGAAUUAAGUAACCUUGGGAAUGUAUCAACACACUGAAAAGCAAAUUUUAAGACCUAUAUCUGCCAAACUAUACAAUUUGUACAUUAAGAUUUUUACACAACUCUUUCCACAUAGUUGGUAAGAAUAUGUAAUAUAAAACACAUUUUUUUUUUUUUUUUUUUUUUACAAAAAAAAAAGAAUUAGAGAAAUAGCCAGGGAAUUAAUCUGGAAAUGCCCAGGUUAAAUGGACUAUGAAUGGAUCACAGCAAAGGAAAAAUACCUGGAGCCCGAUUAGCCAACAAAUGUCUUAAGUUUUCUGACCAUCUAUAGGGAUGGGGUUAAAGUGCACAUUGAAGAAGUAGCGUCCUUGUUAUUUGUGUGGGUGAGCUGGUAAAAAGGAAGUGAGAUACAUCGCAGAGUAUGUGUAUAACAUCAGCCUAUUAAAAUUAAUUCAGUAAGGGUAACCAUGGGAACACAAGCAGGUCGCACUGCUGCAGUGAAAUGAAUUCAAUGGAAAAACAGAAAAAGCUUUAAAAAAAUAUGAAACCCCCUUUUGGCCUUAGGGAAACCCCCUUUGGCCUUAGUCUUGGGUACCUUUGAAAGAGCCCUAGAAUAUCCAUGAACCUUAGUUCGGUUCUGGUUUCCUCAGGCCUUAGGUUACUGAACGGGUCUGAAAGUACAGUACAAUUCAUGCGGCUCUAUUACUCCACGUGCCCCCAUCUCCUUCGUGUCCCAGGGGCUAAAGUUUUAGGGAGGGGUUGGUGGCACAAUCUCAAAGCGAUUUAGCCUCCCUGAGUCGCAAAGACUGGGCCAGAAGGGGGCAAAUCCAGUUAACUUGUGGCAUCAAACUUUAUACACUCGCCAUGGAGCUAGUGCACCGGAUACAAAUGGAAGAUGAUCUCAGUGGUAUUUUUGGCCAAGUCUGCCUUGCCACGGGAAACUCUGCAGGAUCGCAUAUUUAGAUACCCGGAUGGCAGAGCUGACGUAGAAGAAAUGCUUUGUUGUGUGGGGAAACAAAUAGAAACUUUGUAGUAAGUCAUCACAGAACCACAUUGUUUGGUUAGCGAAAACUUCCCAAAUAAAUGCAUAUUCUGCACCAUUACUUGGUUAUUUAGGACAAAAAAGAACAGUUCUGUUUUCUUCAUUGUCUUCUCUUCAUGCACACCCGACAGCGACUUAUUAUCUUUUCUAACUCCCCAGCUUUCAUAGUUGAUGGAAUAGGUUUUCUGAAAUAAAAGCAAAAAACAAAAAAAAAAUCUCAUCAAUAUAGAUAAAAAGGGAAUAUUUGCUGGCUUUGAGGUUUGUUAACUAUUGGAGCUUAUCAAAUUCUAUUACAGGAGGUAUGUUGUUGCAACAUUUUAUAAUGUUGUUGACAUUUUAUAAUUUAGUUGUGUUUCAGCAGCAGUAAGGAAACCUAGGCUGCGAUGCAAACUUACAAAUCCUCUGUUUUGUAAUAAAAACCACGCUUACCAUUUAAAUAGUCUAUAUUACUCAUAAGUCUGCCAGUGCAGUAAGUUAACAGUAGCAGAUCGGUUAGUGGUUUUGUUCGUCACUUGCUAAAAGUUUAUAUACAAAUGUUAAAUAUGUUUGGUGGUGACAGAAAUCACAUUUUGGGGGUCUUUAUUGGUGCAGUAGUACAAAGCCAUGGCUAUUUGUUCACUGUAGGACACUUGUCACUGCGAGUGCCAAGCUAAACUGGAUUUUGUUGGCAUGAGAUCUUUCCGAUGUUCAUCAUCAACACCCAGGUAACGAAAAUCUAACAGGGCAACCUCUGAAUAGGUCUGUGAUUGAGUCAUCAGGUUAAACUUGACUUUGAAUAGUUACCUGAACAUUCUUUUGGGGUUUAAUGAAGCCAACCAGAAACUGUAGGAAUUUGAAUAGUAGUUGCACGUUCCUCUUCCAUGACAUUCUAUAAAUGGACUGGCUCGGAAUUCUUCCAGACAGGACCCGGGGGAUGCCAGAGCCUGACCUGCGCCCUCAGAACCUGCACUUGUGAACUGUCAAGGUAAAAAUCUCUGAAUAAGAAUUCUGUGCAUGGCGUUCAAGUUUUCAAUGCUCUACUCUUGGGGGGGUAAUAGACAAUAAGAAAAGAAAAUAGCAUGAACUAAACUUCUUAUGCUUCGUUACCCAGAUUUGCUAAUACUCUAGCUACCUUCCAAGUUGAGGGACAGUCAUCAAAAAGAAAGCAAAAGCAAUUUAUUCUGCCUGGAAUGCACCUUUUCCUCAGCUAGCUUGUUCUCAGAGUUCAGGGAUCUGCUUAAAUAUAAUCUGAAGAAGGCUUUCCUUGACGUUGUCCCUUUCACAAUCUCUCUCCUUAUCUUUCCUUAUUUCCCUUAUAGUACUGAUCACCCUCUGAACUCGUCACUAUGUUUUCAAUAAAGAAGAGGGGAUAAUGGAUCCUAAAUGAUGCUACAGAAAACAUGAAUAACCACCCACCACAUAUGUGCAGCUAGCACAAUCACUGAUGGUCAGUCCAUAGAUUUCUUCAUUUAGCACUUAGAUCUGGGGAAUCUCUUUAAAAGCCUUUUUCUCUUAGUUCCUGUCUUCAUAGGAAUGUCAAAGGGCACAGUGUAAGGCAAUAAGAUUUUGGAGCAGACAGACUCAGGUUCAGAUCCUAGCUUUACCACUUACUAGUUGUGAGACCUUGGGGAAAUUACUUCGUUCUUAUUUAUAAAACUGCAGAUAAUAGAAACUACCUUUAGGGUUUCCAUAAGGAUUACAGAAGAUCUAUCUAUAUAAAACAGCUGCCAGGUAAAAAUAUAGGCAUUCCGUUACUAAUAUGGUAUUACUCUUCACCUAAAUGUCUUAUUUAGAAUUUGUGGAUGAAGUCAUUUUUUUUAAUGCUCCUUUAUUUACAAAAAAACCCCAACUUGCUUUUAAAAAAAGUAUCUUUCUAGAUUUUCAAGCAAAUGUCCAUGGCACGCUGUGUCCAUUGACAUCAGGCGGCUUCAUUCCCCGGCGGCCGCCUUUCACCCAGUCCAACGUAAGAUUCUAGGGGCAAUCUUUACUAUGACUUUGCUGUUCUUUCCUCCUUACCAUGAUAAAAGAGAAUCCUUUCCAGAGAGAAAUCCAGCCAUGAGGACAGGAGGGAAUGUCAGUGGUUUGGCUGUGGAUAGCUAUGGCCAUCGCAGGACCUUCACAGACGGUGCAUCUGUAACACGAAAUGAAGAAUGUGGCAUCCCCGCUCUCACGCACUGCGAUGUACUUGCUGCCCUACGUUCCGUUACAAGUGAAGUGACUGACCUGGUCCCAUCACAAAGCUAAGGGAUUAGAUUUUUACCUGCUAAUAUAAGGCUCCAGGGCCCUGCCAGUAAUUGGAGCCAUGUCCAUUGGCAUCAGAGCUGGUGUUGACAGCCAGUAUGAAUAAUCAUUUCGAGAUGCAAAAUUGCAUACGUCAUUGAUGUUACAGAACAAGAAUGGCAUUGUGGUAAAUCGCUGCAGGCAGCUGCCAAGAGUUCCUGAUGAAACAUUAGACUGAGUAUCACUGUCAGUAAAUUAAAAUCAUUUUGAGUAUCCUUGCUAGCUAGAGGCUGAUUAAAACAACCUAUGGCAAAAAUGAGAAAGGCAACACAAAAGAGUUACUUGCAGAAUGUGUUAUUUGCAAAGUUUUAACAGUGACAGAAAUCAAAGAUCCAAUAAGCAAACACAUCUUCCUUCUCCCACCCUUAAAACUUCCUGGGACCCUUUCUAAUGAGCCUAGCACUUGAGGACUGGUAGAGGUCUGUUGGAAAAAUGUCUUUUACUUCAAAAUAUUCCCAGUUCUUCCUACGUGUAUAAUAGCAAAUAACUAGACAAAGCUUGAGAACAGAUGCUACUUGUAAGACUCAGAAGCAAACGUGAUUUCAGUGAAAAUUGUUCGCAUUCAACAGGACGAGCUAGAUCAACAUUUCACAAGCAAGGCUCUUUCCAGGGCUUCACGUUUCCAGAAUGAAAAUUAGACGUUAGGCCUGUGUUGUCUUAUUCACGGUCUUCAAGGAGUGCUGUCAGGCACUCAGGGUUGUUUACACUUAGCUUCAGAGAGAAGUACCCCAUGCUAUGAAAAUUGACCAUCUGUAUAUGGAAGAAAAUGACUGAAAACAAGGACUGGGACAUUACCCAGGUCUUGUCCGUGGGCUUGUUCAUUUCCUUGUACAAAAAGAAGAGAGAACCCACUAUAGAGCGGCUGUGUGCCUUCUGGGCAGGAAGGGAUGGCUGUGGUCUGACUGUGCCUGGUGAAGAUGAAGCCUCUCAUGGUUGUUGCAGUUGUGGGUGGUCCAAUGUCUCCAGGUUUGCCCUUCAAGCCUGGCAGUCCAUCCAAACCUGGGGGUCCUUUAACAAACAUGGUAUACAUGUUGCAAUACAAACAAAACCUCAAACUCAUUUUCCGGAAGUACUGAUUUAAAUGUUUAUGUAUAUCUGUUAAGCCCCUCUGUAAAGGAGUCCUAAAAAAGAGGGGCUUACAAAAUGGCCAAACAGUAUUAAAUGUCCACUAGUUUAUCACACGAUGCCUUAUAAAUAUUUGUGUAUAUUGCAUGAUGAGUUUUUGAGAUCAGGUCUUUUUUUCCCCUCCCCCAAUUUUUUUAAUGUUCAUUUAUUUUUGAGAGAGAGAGACAGACAGAGAGAGAGAGAACAAGUGGAGCAGGGGCAGAGAGAGAGGGAGACACAGAAUCACAAGCAGCCUCCAGGCUCUGAGCUGUCAGCACAGAGCCCGACUCGGGGCUCGAACCCAUGAACCGUGAGAUCAUGACCUGAGCCAAAGUUGGACACUCAACCAACUGAGCUACCCAGGCGUCCCAAGAUCAGGUCUUUUUUAUCUUUGCAUUCUGCGGUGUCCAGCACGGUGGCCUGCAUCUGAUAGGUCUUAGGUACAUUUUUUUUUCGGUACCAAUGAAUGUAUUCUACAAUGUGGGUAAAUAAGUUAAAUCAAAUAUCUAUAUUUUGGAAGUCUAUUCAAGGAGGUACUUUUGAUAAAGUCACUAAACAUUCAUGGACAAUAUUGAAAGUUCUUUUUAAAAGUUGCAAACUUCAAGGAAGUUUUUAAUUAGUAAGGCAAAUAGAAUGGAAAAGACUGUGUUAAGGGUUAGUUUUUAAAAUUUAUAUGAGCUUAAGGCAAAGUAAGUAAUUUGUAUACUUUUUUUCCCCUCUGCACUUAGAGUAAGGCACAUUUGUCACUUUCUAUUAUUAUUUUUUUGGUAAUCUCUCCACCCAUUGUGGGGAUCAAACUCACGACCUCGAGAUCAAGAGUCGCAUGCUCUUCUGACUGAGCCAGCUAGGUGCCCCAACUUGUCACUUUCUAAAGAGCUAUAAUUGGCCACAAGCAAACGAUGCCUUGAGGUCCCUGCACAGGAAUUUUGAUUAGGAGUUCCCGGCCUUCCAUCCUUGCCUGGUUUGCCUCUUGGCCCACAGGGUCCUACGCAAAAAACCAACACUGUGUUGAAUGGUUCAU